AAAGAAAACUGUUACGGAGUGGAAAAGAUAUUUUUUAUGUGUGCAUAGUUCAGAUUUUUCAUAAUAAAGAUAAAAAUGUUUGAAUUCUUUUUGCUUUCAGAUGUACCACAUCCUGUGACAAAUGUUCAAGUUCAGGUGGGUUUUAUUGUCCUGUCAGCUGCAUACAAUUACACAGCAAGACAGAAUUUGUUGCUACAUCUAAAUCUUAAUAAAGACAGUGACAAAAGAUAACUCUAAACACGAUGUUCUGUUAAGUCUUAUGUUCACUAUAUUCUGCACCAUUUUAACCAAUCCAGAUGGAACGAAGCACAUGUUUUUAUUACUAGUUACUACUAUAAUGUCUGAAAUACUGUGAUACCCUUUGUAUCAUGACUGUACUACUUAUAUACAGAGGUAUACUGGUAAAUGGCUUGUACUUGCAUUGUACUUUUCUAGUCCUGAACACCACUAAAUUGCUUGACACUUGCCAUUAUUCCAACUACGUCUGGAAUCACACCCUCUAGAUAUCAGAAAACUGCAACUUGUAACGUGUGGAGAUGUUUCUUCACAGGUGUAAAUCAGACUUUUCUUACCUGGUCUGUGAUGCUGAACUUUGAUUGACAACUGUCGUACAAACUCCAGAGGCAGUUUGACCACCUCCUGUGAAGAAAUGUUAAGUUCAACUUGUGACUCUGACAUAUGAAUGCAACUCAACGACAUUCAGCUGAGGAAAGGGCUUCACGUUUGACACCAUGUGACUCAAACCUUGGUUCAUGUCCAAAAGGCCCCCCUCCAAAAGUCGUGAAUAGAAAGGAACUGUACACAACACUAGUCAUUGAUGAAAAACAGCCGUGUCUUACCCCACUGUGGAUGAACUCCUCUCCCAGCAGUCUGCUCAUUACAUUGGAGCAGAAGUCAACGAUGUUCUGGAGCUGCCUGAACGCCUGCUCUGGUGUCUGUAGACCAAACAGGAAGAGACCAGGAAUCACCCAGAACUUUGAAUUAUGACCACAGGCCAACUUGCAAUGUUACCUCACGAAACCUGUGUGUCAAGUAAUAACGCUGACCUGUCAAUAAAUGGAUGGGUCAAGAGUUCCUACUUUGUUAGAUAAAGCCUGUUGUCUGAUUCUGUUAAUUCCAAACAUAUUUUUUGUUUGUUGUAGUUGAAGGGAGAUGGAGGGACAGUGACACUUGCAUCCAAGUCACUGGUGAAACAACUGGGAGUGGGUGAGGCGUGAUCCCACACUGUGAGUAACAGAAGGAGAAAUCUUAAUGUCUGAGUGGGUGGAACAGGAUAUUUAGUGAGGAUUACCUGUUCGUUUGUCAGAGAAUUUACUGACAAUUCCCUCCCCAGUGACAUGUAUGAAUCUGGUUCUAAACAUCUCAUUCCACCCAACAUGUCCAUCAGUUACAGUAUUACAAAAAGGCAAAUGCUGACAGAUAGUUUUAGACCACACUGUUGUGACAGACACCUUGCAUUCUCAGUGCUGGAAAUUAGUUUUGGACUCAUGGCAUCUCAAUGCUGUGAAUGCCACAGAAACACAGACAGGUAUAGACCAGAUCUGACAACCUCUAUAUGAUAAACUCACUGUAUGUGCUGUACAUUACACAUGUAAUAAAAGAAAAUUGAAUUUGUAAAAAAUUCCAGUAUGUUAAUAUAAUACAAUAUAUUAAAUAUAAAAUUACUUAAACACAAAUUAGAAAAACAAGAGCUGAAUCAUGUGAAAAUUGCACAGUUUAUGUAUUUUUGUUAAAAUGCUUCAGAGAGGGACGGCAGAUUCAAAUGAUGCUAAGGUUUGAUAUUUUAAAAGGAAUUUUAACUUAAAACAUUUUUUUUUGUGUCCAGUGCUGAUGGCUCAUAUUGCACAUCUGCUAACGUAGAUAAUGUUAAUGACCAAUGACAGGCCGUUCAAGUGAGCGACGUUUGAAAUUACUGUACGCUAUUAUAAACCUGUUUUAAAAACAAACACCCAGUACUAAACGUAAUCUGUUCAACAAACACCCAUUAGUCCCCAGUGUGCGUCAUGUGUUUGGUAUUAAGAGUUUCUUUCUGAUCAGGAGUACAGUUGAGGGCUUAAUUUUAAAUUCACACGACUUACUUGUGGAGGGUUUUCAGAGUCCUCAGCUGGAUACUUGAGCAGACGCAGAACUCUUGAAAGCUGCAAGAACAAUGAUGAAGCCCUUUAAUUCCUUCCAAAUAAAUCACUUGUCUUAAGCUGUAAUUCUAUGCUCCUAUGUAAAGUACAGUCCAGGGGAAAAUCCAGCUGAAAUCGCAUUAAACUGCUAAUUAAAAAGGCAACGGCAUCGCAACAACCCUCAAAUACUUAUAAUUGGAUUCAUAUUUGGAAUCAAAACGCUUUGUCUGCACAAAGCUGGGAUUACACGUUAACGUCUGCAUUAUACAUUGUUUACAACAUUUCCUUGUUACAACAUGUCUGGUCACAGGAAACAAAUGUAAUUCACCUGCAGUUGUCUGAUAACUACAUAUAUUUUUUAUUACCACCUUGAAUGAACAACAGCACUAAUACAACAAACUAUUACAGUUAAACUCAUUAAGGACUAAAUGAUUAGUUUCACAAAGUUCUCUUGAACUGUACCGGUCAUUUCUGUCAUAUUGAAGAUAUCUGCAUUUGAACAGCGGUUGCACUAGUACACUAGUAUCACCUAGUACUAUAGGUAGCAGUAUGCCUGGGGGCUACAUAGAAUUCAGGACCACAUGCUGAUGUCUUAAGGUAAGGUUUGCUUAAGGUUGAUGUAGUUGGCUUUUUCCCUUUCCUCUUUCAAACAGUUUCUCUUCUCUGGAACAUAUACGUACAUUCUCAUCCGUACAACGAAUACCCUUUGUCACCAAAAUGCAGAAAAACCAUUGAGUCCUUGCCUGAAGAGCUGGCUCUCAACAGUUUUUGAGGGCUGUCAAAAACACUGAGGACUGACCUCUGACCCAUCAGAGACCAACCAUCCAUUGUACACAGAUCUCUACAGUCUGGCUGUGAGUUCCUGUUCCUAGAGGGUUUGGGCUACACAACAGUUUUACCACAACAACUCUCUAUUCAGGUGUCCAGUCACUUAGGGGAUGAAAAACAAGAUUUCCCAGCAGUCAGUUAUAACUUGAGAAGUGACUUGAAUAAGAGGUAAUUUUCAAGAAACCAGACAGUCCAGUUGCCUACUUCAGAACUUUCUAAAAUAAAAUGACCUGGAUGACUGAGAAUCUACACAAACAACCGUAAUAUUAUCUAAAUCUCUCACCGUCCCCCUAAUGCACUAAAUCUAACUGGUCCCAAAACACUACGACAUCUCAUUCUCAACAUUGACUCACUAAUCAGCAUUUGAUCAUCCUUGCGACUGCAUUCACUUGUGCUGAAUAACCAUAAUAGUGGCGAUUGUCUUCGUUACAACACCGAGUGGUGCCAUUCCCUGUUAGGUCACCGAUUGCUCAAUAAUAACAUGAUCAUACAGGUACUACGUAAAAUACUUUCCCACGGAAGAAUAGCAACGUUUUGCUAUAGAAGGCGAGCGUUAAGGCAAGUAAGUCUAAAUCAGUAUGGUUUAGCAUGCCUGAAAGACAACUAUUGCUACAUCUCAUCACACCGCCAUGGUCUCGCUCUUCUCUGCACAUAUAAACUAGACGCAUCGUGUAACACUUUUAGAAGCUCGUCAUUUCAUAACAGAAAAACACAAAUGAAAUGACAACACAAUUGGCUGUAGACUUUAUUUAAAACUAUUCUAUAUGUCAGUUAUAAACUUGUAUAGGCUACCGUUUAAAAAAACUCUAGCUCGCAGCUAGCGGUUAAACUGUAGACAGCUAAAGCCACAGCUGGAAAAUAUGAACUUCUGCUUUUUAAGUUUUAGUCUAAAGUCAGGAUUUCCAUACCAUAAUGUUAAUGUUUGGAAAAGCAAUAUCACCGCGCGGAAGCUCGAGUACUGUUGGGAAAAUUACCGAGACUUUCCUCCUAGGCUGGAUUAGCUCGGUGUUAGCUUCCUAGC